rnacentral:lncRNA from 1 species
AAAUAUUCUAUUAGUAUCAGUUUAUCAUUAUUUCAACUAAAAUAAACGCGUGAAAGGAAAGCUCAAGGAACAUCUAGUAGGAAAGAAGGAACUAUAAAAAUGCAAGUAAGGGUUUAACUUUUCAUUCACCUUCAAGUCUCUUUCUCCAUUUUUAUGGGCUCUCACGUUUGGGUUUUUAGCAGAUUUCCUUUUCUCUUUCGUUUUUCUCCAAGAAAAUUUUGGGAAGAAAUUGAGAGAUGGGGAAAUACAUAGAGCUUUUAGACGCUGGAAUCAGAAUGGC